rnacentral:rRNA from 1 species
CCUACGGGUGGCUGCAGUGGGGAAUAUUGCACAAUGGGCGCAAGCCUGAUGCAGCCAUGCCGCGUGUGUGAAGAAGGCCUUCGGGUUGUAGAGCACUUUCAGCGGGGAGGAAGGCGUUAAGGUUAAUAACCUUGUCGAUUGACGUUACCCGCAGAAGAAGCACCGGCUAACUCCGUGCCAGCAGCCGCGGUAAUACGGAGGGUGCAAGCGUUAAUCGGAAUUACUGGGCGUAAAGCGCACGCAGGCGGUCUGUCAAGUCGGAUGUGAAAUCCCCGGGCUCAACCUGGGAACUGCAUUCGAAACUGGCAGGCUAGAGUCUUGUAGAGGGGGGUAGAAUUCCAGGUGUAGCGGUGAAAUGCGUAGAGAUCUGGAGGAAUACCGGUGGCGAAGGCGGCCCCCUGGACAAAGACUGACGCUCAGGUGCGAAAGCGUGGGGAGCAAACAGGAUUAGAUACCCCUGUAGUC